UACGUAGGGUGCGAGCGUUAAUCGGAAUUACUGGGCGUAAAGCGUGCGCAGGCGGUUUUGUAAGUCUGUCGUGAAGGCCCCGGGCUCAACCUGGGAAUUGCGAUGGAGACUGCAAGGCUUGAAUCUGGCAGAGGGGGGUAGAAUUCCACGUGUAGCAGUGAAAUGCGUAGAGAUGUGGAGGAACACCGAUGGCGAAGGCAGCCCCCUGGGUCAAGAUUGACGCUCAUGCACGAAAGCGUGGGGAGCAAACAGG
rnacentral:rRNA from 1 species